ensembl:lncRNA
CUCAAUUUAAAAUAUAUGCAUAUGUAUAUAUUAUAUAUAAUAUUUGUGUGUGUGUGUGAGUGUACCCUUUAGAUGGGGCAUAAUUUGUCCAUUUUGCCUCAAUGUCCACUCUCCUUUAUGAUAGGACCUGUGACAUCUGAUGUUUCUUUACACCAUCUGUUUGGUCCCCGUAAUAAGCUUCUGUUUUGGCAGCUGCAGCCAUAAUUGCUAAGAACCACAAAUAUAAUCUGAUGAAGUGAGAAAUCUCUCUCACAGAGAACUGUCUGAUAACACCCAGGUCAAUAGUCUUACAACCUAACUCUAUGAAAAAAAUUGUUUAAAAAUGCAGCCUCCUCUAAUAAUUUUAUAGAGUAUGAAUUAUGAAAGUGGAAAGGAUCCAAAAUAAAUUUGGUCAGGUAGUGUUAUUUCUUUGUAGCUUUUAGCAUAUAGAUCCCCUGGAAAAGGGAAUGGCAACCCACUCCAGUAUCCUUGCCUGGAAAACCCCAUGGACAGAGGAGCCUGGUGGGUUACAGUCCAUGGGACUCCAAAAGAUUUGGGCAUGACUUAGUGACUGAACAAUAAUAGAUACGUGUUAUAUGGAGCUUAGUUAUUAAAAUAAUUAGGAAAUGUAUUUCUAACAAUGAAGUGAUUCUGAAAGAAGUUUGCGCAGUGUUGCUCAUGCUUCUUGCUUUGAAAAUAUCAGCUUAGCUUAAUAGAAUAAUAGAUGUUUACUGUUAUAAUACACAUUAGUUUAAAGGAUUUUGUUUGAAAUAUUCUAGUAUGAAAUGUUCACAAGCAGUUAUUUAUCUUUAGAGUCAAAUUUUAAUGAAAUAUACUCAAGAACUGUCAUUGAAGAUGCCUGGUGACUUUGCUGAGGCAAGAAAGUUUGUCCCCAUUCUGUCCUCAGGUUAAAUAGCCUAUAUUCACAUAAUAGAGUCAACAUCCACCCCUCUUUCCUGACUUCUGGACUGUGUGUCUGCAUUUCCACAUUGCCGCCACUAGAUGGUGCGUUCUCACAUUCACUUCACUGUAACAGUUCAGUUCAGUUCAGUUCAGUCGCUCAGUCGUGUCCGACUCUUUGCGACCCCAUGAAUCGCAGCACGCCAGGCCUCCCUGUCCAUCACCGGCUCCCGGAGUUCACUCAGACUCACGUCCAUCGAGUCAGUGAUGCCAUCCCUGCAGCCAUGAAAUUAAAAGACACUUACUCCUUGGAAGAAAAGUUACGACCACCCUAGACAGCAUUUUGAAAAGCAGAGACAUUACUUUGCCAACAAAGGUCCAUCUAGUCAAGGCUAUGGUUUUUCCAGUGGUCAUGUAUGGAUGUGAGAGUUGGACUGUGAAGACGGCUGAGGGCUGAAGAAUUGAUGCUUUUGAACUGUGGUUUUGGAGAAGACUCUUGAGAGUCCCUUGGACUGCAAGGAGAUCCAACCAGUCCAUUCUGAAGGAGAUCAGCCCUGGGACUUCUUUGGAAGGAAUGAUGCUAAAGCUGAAACUCCAGUACUUUGGCCACCUCGUGUGAAGAAUUGACUCAUUGGAAAAGACUCUGAUGCUGGCAGGGAUUGAGGGCAGGAGGAGAGGGGGAAGACAGAGGAUGAGAUGGCUGGAUAAGCAAUUCUUCAAAUCCUAAUUUAGAAGAUAACAUGUGUGGAUCUUGGCCAUUAAAUGUGUUUGGAGACUUAGGAGGGAAAAAGAAGUUUGGUGGGAAAGUCAAUAAGUUGAGGAUUGUAUAUGUUGAAUUUGAGGCACUUAUCUGUUUUUCUGCUGAAAUGUCCAAAUUGUAGAUGGAGAAGAAUAAGGAUGUUGGAGAAAAAGAUUAUGCUGAAUGUAUUGAUUUCGAAGUUCUCAAAAUCCAGGUAGACUUAACCCCCAAACAUGUAUAAGCUCAGUUAGAUGGAGGGUUUAGAGGGUUUAAAGGUGCGCAGGUUUAGUAUAGAAAUCUAGGGAACACAUAUAUGCAGAUUAAAGGAGAGGCAAUCACAAAGAAAUAAAGCAAGAGUCAGAUAUUAUUAUUUAAGUUCAGUGUUUUGCAAAGCCAAAACAAUUGUUUUAAAGAAUAACAAAAAUUCAACACUACCAAGUGAAAUAUAGAUUCCAGUACAAUACGAGCUCCCCCAAUACUCACUGGAUUGAAAAAAAAAGUUUAAAUUGUAUCACUGUUACUGCAACAAAAAGAGAAGAUGUGGAAUUCAAAUUCCAGGGGAUUGAAAAAUGAGAUAGGAUGCAUUUUAAUUUUAUGAUUGUAGACUAGUCUUUUUUAAGGAUGUGCAUGCAAAGGAAAGGUAAACUGGUUAGUAGCCAGAUAUAUCUGUAAGAUUUAAAAAAUAUUUUAGAAAACAUUUACAAAUAAACGCUGAAGUUGUUGUUGAGUCACUAACUUGUAUCCGUCUCUUCUGUGACCCCAUGGACUGUAGCCUGCCAGGCUCCUCUGUCCAUGGAAUUUCCAAGGCUGAGAAUACUGGAGUGGGUUGCCAUUUCCUACUCCCGAGGAUCUUCCCAACCCAGGAAUUGAACCCUCGUCUCCUGCACUGACAGACAGAAUCUUUACCAUUGAACCACCAGGGAAGCCCACAUGUCUGAAGAACCACUUGCAAAUAAACGAGUGUUUAGUUAGCAACAGCAUCACCUACCUGACUUCCAAACUUAAAAAUAAAUAAAUAACAUCUGUGGGCUACACAGGCAACCAAUAGUACUCUGCAAUGUGCUGCUACUGCUGCUGCUAAGUCGCUUCAGUCGUGUCUGACUCUGUGACUCCAUAGACGGCAGCCUACCAAGGCUCCCCCAUCCCUGAGAUUCUCCAGGCAAGAACACUGGAGCAGGUUGCCAUUUCCUUCUCCAGUGCAUGAAAGUGAAAAAUGAAAGUGAAGUCACUCAGUCGUGUCUGACUCUUAGUGACCCCAUGGACCGCAGCCCACCCAGCUCCUCUGUCCAUGGGAUUUUCCAGGCAAG